AGAUGCGUUUCACACUCGGACCCUCGCAGUUUUAUUGUGGGUCUAGGUUAUACAUGCUACAGAGGAUUCCCUGCGCGGGGUCAACCAAUGGGAUGCGCCGAUAUUUUGGUUUGCGAAGAGAAAUAUCACAGCUGAAACGCUGUUCGAAAAUUUUCACGACAGCGCUGGUCGCGCAUUGGAUGACGUCACCCAGGAUUCUGGCAACGAGGAAGCUGACAACGCAUCUAGCAGAUGUUAGCGAUGACAGCAACGAGGCCAGCGCGCACCCGGGCAGCGUGCGUGAUGCGCACCGGAGACAGCGCAGAAAAUGGUGACGUCAUGAAAUCGAAAUAUCACCGAGAGCACGGUGACGUGGACAACGGUUCGCACGGUGACGUGGACAACGGUUCGCACGACGUCGAAGAAAGUACAACGACAGCGGAUGGUGGACAUCAUGACGUCAGAGAUCCCAUCAAGCGUUCGAUUCGGCGAGGGCUUCAUCACAGAAGAAUGGAGUACUCUUAACAUAUGGGCCGCACGCUAGCUGCAUUAAUACAACGACUAUACGAUACGUUCUAUAACGUACCGAUAAGGAGCCACACUGGUCCAAUCUUUACCAUGAACAAUAAUAAUUGCUGUUUUCCACGUUCGUCUCUUUUAUCAAAUUGCAUGCUAACUAGAGGUGUCCCACUAGAGGAAUCUAACUAGUGUAAUUCUCCAGAAUAUAUAUAGGGACAUUUUCUUUAAAAAUACGAAAUAUUUGUGAUGAUGAAGCAGCAAGCGGUGUUGUACCGAUGUCGUUUUUACGGCUUCCACAUCUUACGAAGCUCUCUCGUUAAGAUGACCGAAUAUUAUUACCAGCUUCACUAAUGACAAUAUCGUGAAACGUGAAUUGUCAGCUAAAAAUUCUAUACGUGCACGCGCAUGCGUAAUUAAGAGCACCUGGCGUGUGUCGCUAUCGUUGUGUAACUAAACUCCUAUUAAGCAAUAUUCUAAUUAAUAAUUUAUUCACUUUUUUCUGGUCUACUCUACGCUCAUGCUUGUGAGACGUGAGCGCUGCCGUGCUCGAAAUAUACGCUAGAAGAAUGCACAAUGGCACCGCCG